rnacentral:rRNA from 1 species
AAGUCUGACGGAGCAACGCCGCGUGAGUGAUGAAGGUUUUCGGAUCGUAAAGCUCUGUUGUUAGGGAAGAACAAGUACCGUUCGAAUAGGGCGGUACCUUGACGGUACCUAACCAGAAAGCCACGGCUAACUACGUGCCAGCAGCCGCGGUAAUACGUAGGUGGCAAGCGUUGUCCGGAAUUAUUGGGCGUAAAGGGCUCGCAGGCGGUUUCUUAAGUCUGAUGUGAAAGCCCCCGGCUCAACCGGGGAGGGUCAUUGGAAACUGGGGAACUUGAGUGCAGAAGAGGAGAGUGGAAUUCCACGUGUAGCGGUGAAAUGCGUAGAGAUGUGGAGGAACACCAGUGGCGAAGGCGACUCUCUGGUCUGUAACUGACGCUGAGGAGCGAAAGCGUGGGGAGCGAACAGGAUUAGAUACCCUGGUAGUCCACGCCGUAAACGAUGAGUGCUAAGUGUUAGGGGGUUUCCGCCCCUUAGUGCUGCAGCUAACGCAUUAAGCACUCCGCCUGGGGAGUACGGUCGCAAGACUGAAACUCAAAGGAAUUGACGGGGGCCCGCACAAGCGGUGGAGCAUGUGGUUUAAUUCGAAGCAACGCGAAGAACCUUACCAGGUCUUGACAUCCUCUGACAAUCCUAGAGAUAGGACGUCCCCUUCGGGGGCAGAGUGACAGGUGCUGCAUGCUCUCUCGUCAGAAA